UUAUUAUUAUUAAAUUACUUUUGUAUUUCAGUUUUAAAUAAUUUCAUUUACAUAUAAAUUUUUAAAUUUUUUGCUUAUUUAUGUACAUAUUUCAUACGGAUUGUGCUUAUUUUUAGUAUAUGUUGGGGGUUACGAGUGAUAUAAGGCUAUUGGGCAACCGCACACUAAAUACUAACCUCAAUGGUGGUAUGGAAACUAAAAAUUCCAGACCUUUGGUUCAAAAAUACCCAAUUCAUGUUUCUACCGGUGUGGCAAAAUAUUGGAAAAUGUUAUAAAAAAUGCACAUUUUCCAGCGCUCUCACGAGAAAAAGAGUUUCACAUCUAGUCAUCUAUGGACUAUAGUGGGUCGAGCGAAACACUGCAUCACAGAACAACGAAAGCAGAUUCUGAAAUUGAGAGCAGAUAGAAGAUUUAAAUCCAAUCAAAUUUGUGGAAAAGGCCGAAAAAACAGGAGAAAAACGAAAAACUUCCCUGCAAGACAACCGCAAAAUUGUAAGGUGCUCCAAAGAGAAUCCCAUGAAGUGAGCCAUACAAAUUAAAAAUGAGGUGAACUUAAAAAUAAUGAAUGUUAUGUUGCCGUAUUGCAGAGAGGAAAUGCCAAUAAAAUGGGUCUACCAGCGAGAUAAUUACGCUAAACACACGAGUCGGAAGGUCAAGGAUUGGUUUCGCGCAAAUGCAAUUUUAUUUUUGGUUAUGGAACGGCCAUCUCAAUCCCCCGACCUCAAUCAAUAAAAAAUCUGUGGGGGGGACUGAAAAAGAGCUGUACGCAAUGCCAAACCGAGUAACUAUCAACAACUUUGGGAAAUUGUUAAAGAUGCGUGGCUGAAGAUCCAGAUGCAGCGGCGUGAUCAAUUGGUAGGCUCAAUGGCCCAUCAUUGUACUGCCAUUAAAAAAAAUUGGGAAAUUUAACUAAAUAUAAGUUAAAAUUUUGUAUCUGCAAACUUUGGCAAUACAGUUUUUCUUUUAAGCUUGGUCAAACUGCCUUACUUAUAUGACCACUACUACUUUGGUGUUAACCCUGAAUUUCAAACUUUGUUAUAAAAAGUAUUGUUUUUCGUUAUAGAAAUUAUUUAAAUAUGUGUUCAGUUAGAGAGUAAAUAUUUUUUCAAAAUAAUAAUAAGCACCUUGUAAUCACAUCAUAGAUUUUCAAAAAUAUAUUUUUGGUACUGCUGCUUUCGUGUCCGCAACUGUACAUCACAA